AUUGAACGCUGGCGGCAUGCCUUACACAUGCAAGUCGAACGGUAACGGGUCCUUCGGGAUGCCGACGAGUGGCGAACGGGUGAGUAAUAUAUCGGAACGUGCCCAGUAGUGGGGGAUAACUGCUCGAAAGAGCAGCUAAUACCGCAUACGACCUGAGGGUGAAAGGGGGGGAUCGCAAGACCUCUCGCUAUUGGAGCGGCCGAUAUCAGAUUAGCUAGUUGGUGGGGUAAAGGCCUACCAAGGCAACGAUCUGUAGUUGGUCUGAGAGGACGACCAGCCACACUGGGACUGCGACACGGCCCAGACUCCUACGGGAGGCAGCAGUGGGGAAUUUUGGACAAUGGGCGCAAGCCUGAUUCAGCAAUGCCGCGUGCAGGAAGAAGGCCUUCGGGUUGUAAACUGCUUUUGUCAGGGAAGAAAUCUUCUGGGCUAAUACCCCGGGAGGAUGACGGUACCUGAAGAAUAAGCACCGGCUAACUACGUGCCAGCCGCCGCAGUAA
rnacentral:rRNA from 1 species